rnacentral:rRNA from 1 species
AUUGAACGCUGGCGGCAUGCUUUACACAUGCAAGUCGAACGGUAACAGGCCGCAAGGUGCUGACGAGUGGCGAACGGGUGAGUAAUGCAUCGGAACGUGCCCAGUCGUGGGGGAUAACUACUCGAAAGAGUAGCUAAUACCGCAUACGAUCUAUGGAUGAACGCGGGGGACCGUAAGGCCUCGCGCGAUUGGAGCGGCCGAUGUCAGAUUAGGUAGUUGGUGGGGUAAAGGCUCACCAAGCCAACGAUCUGUAGCUGGUCUGAGAGGACGACCAGCCACACUGGGACUGAGACACGGCCCAGACUCCUACGGGAGGCAGCAGUGGGGAAUUUUGGACAAUGGGCGCAAGCCUGAUCCAGCAAUGCCGCGUGCAGGAAGAAGGCCUUCGGGUUGUAAACUGCUUUUGUACGGAACGAAACGGCUCUGGUUAAUACCCGGGGCUAAUGACGGUACCGUAAGAAUAAGCACCGGCUAACUACGU